rnacentral:tRNA from 1 species
UUAAUUGAAGCCAAAAUGUGAGGCAUCUUAAUGUUAAUAAGAUUAUUGAUUUAACUUCCAAUUAAA